rnacentral:rRNA from 1 species
GACGACCGCUGGCGGCGUGCUUAACACAUGCAAGUCGAACGGAAAGGCCCUGCUUUUGUGGGGUGCUCGAGUGGCGAACGGGUGAGUAACACGUGAGUAACCUGCCCUUGACUUUGGGAUAACUUCAGGAAACUGGGGCUAAUACCGGAUAGGAGCUCCUGCUGCAUGGUGGGGGUUGGAAAGUUUCGGCGGUUGGGGAUGGACUCGCGGCUUAUCAGCUUGUUGGGGGGGUAGUGGCUUACCAAGGCUUUGACGGGUAGCCGGCCUGAGAGGGUGACCGGCCACAUUGGGACUGAGAUACGGCCCAGACUCCUACGGGAGGCAGCAGUGGGGAAUAUUGCACAAUGGGCGGAAGCCUGAUGCAGCAACGCCGCGUGCGGGAUGACGGCCUUCGGGUUGUAAACCGCUUUCGCCUGUGACGAAGCGUGAGUGACGGUAAUGGGUAAAGAAGCACCGGCUAACUACGUG